UUUUUAUGGAGAGUUUGAUCCUGGCUCAGGAUGAACGCUGGCGGCGUGCCUAAUACAUGCAAGUCGAGCGAACAGACGAGGAGCUUGCUCCUCUGACGUUAGCGGCGGACGGGUGAGUAACACGUGGAUAACCUACCUAUAAGACUGGGAUAACUUCGGGAAACCGGAGCUAAUACCGGAUAAUAUAUUGAACCGCAUGGUUCAAUAGUGAAAGACGGUUUUGCUGUCACUUAUAGAUGGAUCCGCGCCGCAUUAGCUAGUUGGUAAGGUAACGGCUUACCAAGGCAACGAUGCGUAGCCGACCUGAGAGGGUGAUCGGCCACA
rnacentral:rRNA from 1 species